UUCACGUGGCUUCUCAAACACGCUCUCAUAAUACAUCCUCUCUCUUCAAUCAAUCCUUAAACCCUAAUUUCAAUUUCAUACAUCUCUGCCUGUUCCAUCACUGUAUCUCUCUCUGUUCCAUUACAACCUAGAUCUCAGUCUAAAGCAACCAGCAAAAGGGUUUUUGCUUUCAAUCCAUUCGUCUUUGGCUUUUUGUUUCAACGAUUUGGCGAUUCUUCUUUUGAUCAACACCAUGUAAGGGUUUUUAUUGUGAAGAGGUUUUGUUGAUGAGAAUGUUAGAUAGUCAAAGCCAUGGGAUUUCAAUCCUUUCUGAUCAAUGGUGAUUUUCAGAAAAUCCUAAAUCUCAAAUCUGGAUAUGAUUGAGAAUGUGUUGGAAAUAAAAGACACCCAUGUGAAGGAGGUUAUGACGCCACUUGUGGAUGUAGUUGCAGUUGAUUCGACUACAACGUUAGUUGAUUUCCACCACUUAUGGGUAACUCAUCAAUAUUCUAGGGUGCCAGUGUUUGAGCAGCGAGUUGAUAACAUCGUGGGUGUAGCUUACGUAAUGGAUUUGUUAGAACUUAUUAAGAAAGGAGAUAUGCUUGAAACUGCAGUUGUGGGAGAUAUGGCUCACAAGCCUGCAUAUUUCGUUCCUGAUUCAAUGUUAAUCUGGAAUCUUCUGGGGAAUUCCGUAUUAGGAAAGUUCACAUGGUUGUUGUUCUUAAUGAAUACGGAGGAACCGUCGGUAUUGUAACCCUUGAAAAUGUUGUUGAGGAAAUUGUUGAUGAGAAUGACUCAAAGCUUUUUGGACACCUAUAACACUUGAAGGGGAGAUUCUGAAAAUCAAUUGACAAGGAGAUUACCGAUUAGAUUCAUGAAGCACGACUCUGCUUUGAACCCUAAAUUGAUCAAUUUCUCACACUCUAAUCCCUUCUCGGACAUUGACGUUGUUAAGAUUUAGGAUAUGUUGUCGGGUAUAAGUGUUCAUGCAUCGUGCAUUGGUGCUUCCCAUCAACAGAAGAUGUUGCAGAUUUCAAGUCACAGUUUGAUAAGAUUAAAGAGGCUACAGGAAGGGUGAUAAUAAUGACAGCACAUGCACCUAAUGGGUCAAGGUUUGACACUUUGACUUUCAUUUCCACGUUUUUGACCCUAAUAUUGGAGUUGAUGAGGUAAUUAUAUUGGAAUAAUGUUUCCAAACCAAUGUGGUAAACAUUUAGAUCAGGCCCGGUUAUUGGGCUGGACAGGCCUGGCGAAUGCCAAGGCCCAAAAUUGAAAGGGGCCCAAAAUUUGAAAUGUUGUAUACAUAUAUUUUAUUGAUGAUUGGGGCUUGGGUCAUUGGGGUUGGAGUGCAAUGGGGCGGGCUAAAAGAGGUGGGAUAUCUAGAGGCUCUUCACUUUCUUUGAUUAUCUGUUUUUAAGUGAAAAAUGGUCCAAACGUCUACGGUUAAACCUUUUUUUAAAAUCAAAGGACAAAACUAAAUAAGAUCUUUAACUUCAUAAAAUACUUAAUAUAUUAAAAAGGAGCGCCUAUUUUAAUAUUUUCUAACAUAAAAUAAUCUAUCCCACAAUAUUCAAUAGUUUGUUAACUUAAUAGUUUAAUAGAUUUUGAUUAUUAAAUAUUCAAACAAAGUAAUUUUAUCUUAUCAAUAUUCUUCGGUUAAUAUUUGAAAACAAACAAGUAUUAGUGGAGCUAGACUUUAUAUGAAACGAUAACAAUGUCAUCAUAAAGCUUGAAAAUGCGGCCAUCGAAUAAUCAAAGUCAGUUGACUUUGCUGUUUUUGGAAAGUACAUUAUAUUGGAGAAAAGAGAAUGAUAAUGAGAACAUUGACACAUCUAUAUGAUUGGUCCGGGAUCAAAUGAUUAUGGCUAGGGUUUAAAUAUGAGCAUUGCAACAAUGAAUAACAAACAAGACACAAUUAGCAUACGAACUGCAAAGUCAACUUAAAGAAAGUCAACGUGCUUUGGGAGAGGCUACUGCAGUUGCUCGUCUUAAUCACAGGUUAGUAGGUGCCUAUAAUUGCAAGGAUGAACUUUAGUUAUCUUAAUCAUAUUAGAUUAUUUAUGUUCUGAUCAUCACUGUGUAUAGAAUUUGAUUAUAGACCUAUUCUAGAGGCAGCUUUGUCUUCGUAUACUGGUUGCACCGAUUGCAAGGUGGACGUGGCGUAAUUUUGCUUAUUGUGUUUACACCUGUGAUAUCAUUAUUUCAUCUUUGGUUCUAUUUUUUUAGGUGCCUCAUGGAUUUUUUUAGUGCUUACGAUAAUACAAUUAUGCUUUCGGGAAUAAUUGGUGAGUUAGUAGAACACAAGCGGAAUAUGAAAAUUUCAAAAUUAUGGUGACUGGGCAUUCAAUGGGCGGGGCUAUGGCAGCUUUUUGUGGGUUGGAUCUUGCGGUAACUAAGAUCAUUCCAUCUCCUCACUUUACUUUACUAUACUUGCUUUGCUUUUUGCUGUGUAGAAUUAUGGUUUGCUACAUUACAGUUAAUAAGUCAACAAGAUAAGUGUUACUUCAUUAUAGUUUAUUAAUGUUUUAGUUUUUACAUCCAUAUUUAGUGAUGCUUGGAUAUGCAUAUUGAAACUAAUGCAAUAGAAUAAAAUUUGUUGGAUGAGACUAUUUGUAGACUACUGUUCAAAAUAGGGUUACAAGAGUUUUGUAUUUAUAGACUACAAAACCAAUUAACCAAGAAACUAAAUAAAUCAAAUUAGGGUAACAAGAGUUUUGUAUUUAUAGAAUAAAAAUAUUUGUAGACUACUGUUCAAAAUAGGGUUACAAGAGUUUUGUAUUUAUAGACUACAAAACCAAUUAACCAAGAAUCUAAAUAAAUCAAAUUAGGGUAACAAACAAUCAAGGUUUCUAAUAUAAUGAUACUAUCGGUGGCAGUAUUGACCCAUUCUAAGAACUGGUUGAUUUGGGCAAAAAAUAAGUUAUAUAUGGUCAUAUGGGUCAAACUGAGUUACCUCAAAUUAGUAAACGAUUCAAUUUGUAUCAUUUCAAAUUAGUUAAUAGGGUGCCUCAAAUUAGUCAAUGGGUCAAAACAAACAAGUGUUAUAAAUUUAAAGAUGAUGCAAAUUCGUCGCCACCACUACUUCGCUCACCACCAUCACAAAUUACAUGAGAGUUUUUUGCAGAUUCUAGAGAAGGUCUAGAGUUUAAACCCUUACAGAUCCCCAAAAGUACCUGAUGCCAGUUUAAUUUCAAUUUGAAUAGUAAAGAAAUAUUGUUUAUUUGUUUUUAUAGAAAGAUUAAUUUGGAAUACUUAAGGUUUUGUUAGAUAAAGUGACUAAUCAGUACUUAUUUAUAUAUUGUUGAAGUUUGUGAAGUUUAGAAUAUGAUGGUGGCUUAAAAGUGUUAGGGAAUAAUGCUGCUACAAGUGAUGGUUUCAGCAAUGGCACAUUCUUCAGGGUUGUUCUAUUAGUUCAUAGGGAAAAGGUACUACGUGUAAUAUGGAUUUGUCCACUUAUAACUGUUUUCUUGGAUAUUUGUCGGUUAUUUUCUUUCCAUAGCAAAAUAUGUGGAAAGAGCAAGGAAAUGCUUAGCAACUGAGUUUAAUGCACUGUAGGUUUGUUUCCAUUUGUUCAUGAGAUUUCAAUUGAAGAGGAGAUCUGACAUGUACCCAAAAGAGGUAUGUGGCCAAAGGUUCGUGUCCAUUUUGAGACCAUCAUCGUAGAGAGAGGGAGAAGAGAGCCACCAUUGUUCUCCACUGCACCAUGCCAGUCGUCAUCUAACGCUUGAUACAAAUCCAUGUACCUCGGCUUCUAAAACCCUAAUCUGUGGCGAAGGAGGUAGGUGGCCGUUCAACCGAUGGUAGGUGGGCCACGCAACGACGGUGGUGAAACCAAGAACGACAUCAAAUAUGAGACUCGUAGCGGAAUGAAAGGAUGUAGGUUAGAGACUUAAUAGUCGAACCACACAGACACAAUUGUGUAUUUAUUGCUAAAGGCAGGAAGAUGCUCUUUGCACCAAGAACAUGUGCCAUGGAGAGGCUGUGUAUAACUAGAAGAAGAUCUGAUCUCUGUGUAGAAUGAACAUGGAACAAAGGUCGAGUGGAGAGUAUGAAAUCUUUUCAAAACAAAGUUAGCUGCUGCAAUUCUUGGUGGUGUUGAUAAUAUUUAAAUGGAGCAUCCGGUUAGUUGAACCCGAACCCAUGCUGAACUCGUACCCGUGAGAAGAUCCGUUGGAAUUGGUUAACAUGAGCAAAUAAUUGGAAAAGAACAAUAUUAUCUUAUAUUGUUUAUUUGUAUUUCUUAUUUUAUUUUAUUUAGUUUCCUACUUAGCUUAUGGUUCCUAAUCUAUAUAAAGGGAUCUAGGGUUUAUGUUUAUUUAGUUUUUUUGAUUUGAUUAUUAUAAAAAGAACGUUGUUCUUGAACCCUUUGGUUCGUUUAUCACCUUUCAUUAAUCAUUACGCUUUUGAGCCAUUUGAGUACGCUUCCGAUCCGUAUCAUUCAUCGGCUUGUUCCCUUGAAUAGUAGUCCCGUUAAGAACCUUUUGCAUGAACGUACAUUCUUCCUCAUCGGGUUCAAUCCCAUCUUCAUCGAAUCGAGGUUCCUCUUCCGACAAAUUCAUAUGAUAGAUUGGUUCGUAGAACCGGGGUGGGUAAUGACCAAACGAAUGCUCCUCUCCGUCGCCACCUUCGUCCCAGACGAUGGUGCUCAACUCGGUUUUCGUGUUGCACAUCCCCUGUUGCAACUCCAGAUCUCGGACUCGUUGACGGAGCCGUCUAAUCUCUUCAAGAUCUCGGACUCGUUGUUGGAGCCGUUUGAUCUCUUCAAGGUCUCGGACUCGAUUUCGGAGUCGUUUGAUCUUAAUAACAUCCUGUGGAUCACGGUUUCCGAUCUCGUUGCCUCGCCCGGCGGAUCUACGGUCACGGUUUAAUCGAUCUCCACAAACACGUGAAUCACAAAUGUUCUUGUCGAUGCCUCGGUCGGCGACUCUUCGACCAAGAAAACACUUGCCUUCACGUAGAGCCAUUUGAAAACCAAAGCUCUGAUACCAGCUGAUGCAUCAAAGGUGAUAAACGAACCAAAGGGUUCAAGAACAACGUUCUUUUUAUAAUAAUCAAAUCAAAAAAACUAAAUAAACAUAAAUCCUAGAUCCCUUUAUA